UCACAUUCUACUUUAGCAGGAUGUUUAAUUACUGAUUCUACUUCAUCUUCAAUUGAUUACAGUUGAAUUUUUGGAAGUAAAGAAGGAAUUCAAAUAGGCCAUUUUUAUCAAGCUUGAAUGACUUACCAAAUGCUCAAAUUUGAAGAAAAUGAUUCAAUCCUAGAUCACUUGUGUCUUUGAAUGAUACAUUUUUUAAUAAAGAAAAUUAUUAUUAACAAACAUCGGAUUCAGUAUUAUGCAAGACGUCAAAGUAUAAUUCCAUCAUCAUCAUCAAAACCAAAAAAAAACAUUUCAAUUGUUGAAAUGUAUAAUUGUGAUGGAUAUUGCCGAAGUUUGAUUCAAAAUUAAGUAAAAUUGAUAUGAAAGAUAAACUUAUAUUAAUUUUAUAUCAUGUCUUCCAAAAUGUAAGAUAUCAUUUUUGCACCUUUCCAUUUCAGUAAAAUAUAAGGCGUAUAUAAA
rnacentral:lncRNA from 1 species